UACGUAGGGUGCGAGCGUUGUCCGGAAUUACUGGGCGUAAAGAGCUCGUAGGUGGUUUGUCGCGUUGUCCGUGAAAACUCACAACUCAAUUGUGGGCGUGCGGGCGAUACGGGCAGACUGGAGUACUGCAGGGGAGACUGGAAUUCCUGGUGUAGCGGUGGAAUGCGCAGAUAUCAGGAAGAACACCCGUGGCGAAGGCGGCUCUCGUGGGA
rnacentral:rRNA from 1 species